CACACCUUCCGCUCAAAUCACCGGCGGCCGAGCUGGCAGCCCCGCCCGGGCCUGGGGAGUCGCCGAUGGAGUGUGGGCUGGAGAAUGACGUACUGGAAACACUUCAGGAAGAUUAUUCUUGCAGGGACGUGAGAGAUGGAUUGGAGGGGGCAGGAAGAGCGGAAGCUUCAAGACUGAAGAAGGCCCUGGAACCUUCCACCUUCCACGUGAGGGUUGCGCGGACCUCAACUGGAACUAUGGGGAUAAGGAGCGAGCUAGGAGACGUCGGAGAAGUGACCUCAAGGUGGACACAGGGGUUGAUGGAUGCCAUGACUGUUCUGGAAAAGUACAGGCCACGAACGGCCGUCUACCCGAGCUGCGAACUCUCUGAUGCAGGUGUCAGGACAACAGCCACGAGCACGUCAAGAGCUGCUGGAAGAAUUUCUGCCGUCACUUCAGAGCCUUCUUGGGCCACUUCCUGUAUCACACCCUCGAUUCCCUGGCCCAACAUCACUGACGACCUAGCCAAGGGUUUGCUGUUGCGUCCUUCACACCCACGUGUGAAUAUUAUGUGAGAUUGUAGGAUGCAUUGACUAGAAGGGGCUGUAGUAGGGACCUACGCACUAGAAUUAGCUUCACUGGUUUCUUUUUACUUAAUGUGGAUACUAGAAACUUUAAAAUUAUUUAAAAAAAUAUUGUUACUGGACAGGGCUGCCCUGGAGGGUUGUGGUUGCUUCUUAAAAUGAACCAUAUGUGUACAUUUAAUGAAUAUUUCCCCCUCGGCCUCGAGGUCUCUCAGGAAACAGUUUAAACCACCUCUUCAUUUACUCGUAUCGAAACCUCAAAUGCUCGGAGAACUAAGGAGAACAAACAGAAGUCAGACAGGGAGAUGGUGUCUCCUGGCCGCGUCCUUGUCAUAUGCUGGGGGUUGAGUUGGCCAAACGGUUCUUACCAUUGACCCGGUGAAAGGGAAGGGAAGAAGCCAGGGUUUGAGCCCGGGGUUCUGGUCCCCCCUUCCACCUCUCUGCCUCUGCCUCCAGGGCGGUGGGUCUCAGGCCGAGGAUGGGGAGCCGAGCGGCCUUCUGCUCAGCUGGGAUGGGCCGGGGGGAGCUGGCAAAGACAAAAACCAAAAACCGAGACAGGGUGAGCGUGUGGCCAUCCUCAGGGCUUGCAUUCGUAGGAACCAGCAAUCUCGGCCGAGUCAGUGGGAUCCGGGAGAGUCAGGUGGUAGGAAGGGAGGGAUAGAGGCCCGCACCCCCAGGGGCCGAAGUAGGGGACAUAGCUGAGCCCUGCGGUCUCCAGGGGAUGACAACAGGCGACCCUCCACUACAACUUGUCCCUGGAGGCAAAGUGGCAGCACCUAGGUUAGCUUUCUGGAAUCAAUGAGGCUUCAGUUUUCUCUCUUGCUGUUUAGAGGUUCUUAUUUUGCCAUUAAGAGGUAGAAUGGGGUGCCUGCGUGGCUCAGUUGGGUAAGCGCCUGCCAUUGGCUCAGGUCAUGACUCCGGGGUCCCAGGGUCAAGACCCGUGUGGGGCUCCCUACUCAGCGGGGAGCUGCUUCUUCCCCCCCCCAAAUAAAUAAAUAAAAUCUUAAAAAAAAAAAAAGAAGUGCAAUGAUAGGGGCACCUGGGGGACUCAGUCGGUCAAGCAUUCGACUCUUAGUGUCGGUCAUGAUCUCAGGGUCGUGAAAUCGAGCCCCAGGUGCUCAGUGUACAGUCUGCUUGAGAUCCUCUCUCUUUCUCUCUGCCCCUUGUCCCCCCCCCCCACUUGUGCUCUAUCUCUUUCUCUGAAAAAAAAGAAAAAAAGGAAAAAAAAGAAGUAGAAUUGAUGUGUGAAGUGGAAACUACAGAAACUCCCCGUGUCCUCCCACAGAUAAUGUAUGGAAGCCACGUCUACAAAUGUGUCACUCAUUUAUUUCUGCAGGUGCAGUAUUCUGAGUAUUAUUACUAACUGCCUUACACAUCAUGUCUUGGAACAGUUUAGGGGAGGUGGAAAUUUUUUAAAUAUCUUGCUUUGAAUAUGAUAGUACAGAAAUAUCUGUACAAUUGGUUUUUCUAAGCACUGAAUAAAUAUGGAAUCAGAAAUUAGGAGAAAACUUCUAGAGUCUUUAACUUAUUGAAGAUAUCAUUGAAAGGUUACGAUUUUAAGAUUUUAAGAUGCUCUUACUAUCUUGAUAUCUGAUUUACUCUCUCUUUACAUGGUUUCCUUGUUACUUUAAGUAAGAUCAUUGUGUAGUUUUCUUCUUUUUUUUUAAGAUUUUAUUUAUUCAUGAGAGACAGAGACAGAGAGGGAGGCAGAGACACAGGCAGAGGGAGAAGCAGGCUCCAUGCAGGGAGCCUGACGUGGGACUCGAUCCCAGGACCCCAGGAUCACACCCUAAGCCAAAGGCAGUUGCUCACCUGCUAGCCACCCAGCUGUCCCUCGUGUAGUUUUUUUCUAACACUAAAUACAUCAUUCUAAUACCAAGCAAAUCUCUAGUUUUCUGGAACCAAUUGGGUGUCCAGCUAUCUAAUAAGAUUCUGACCCUAAGUACCUAGAGUUAGCACAGAUCCCACAGGUUCAGGCUCAGUCCCAUGAGGCUGCCCCUACAUCAGACUCCAGCUGCAAAUAGGAUCCGCAGCCUAUCCACACUUCUGCCUGGCUGACUACCGAU
rnacentral:lncRNA from 1 species